UAUCCUCGAACCCGACGGUCCCUCUCGAGGGAUCACGGGUGCGGAGCUCUGGGGGUUGCGGGCACGUCCUCACGGGGGACGGUCGGCUCUCCUGAAAUGCAUCAGCGGAGGGAGGAUGGCAUCGUGAUCGAGCGUGACCUUCCCCUCGACGUCGUAAGGGAUCGUCGUGGGGCAUGGGAUCGCGAGCGAUGGCGUCCGUCUCGAGCUUUCUUCUUCUCCGGUCACACCGGUGUCUCAGG
rnacentral:misc_RNA from 1 species